rnacentral:rRNA from 1 species
AACGAACGCUGGCGGCGUGGAUAAGACAUGCAAGUCGAACGGGACUAAAUCUGUAGCAAUACAGGUUUAGUUUAGUGGCGAACGGGUGCGUAACACGUGGGCAAUCUGCCGAGAAGUGGGGGAUAGCUCGCCGAAAGGCGAAUUAAUACCGCAUAUGAUCAGCUAAGACAUCUUAGCGACAUCAAAGCCGGGGUAACCUGGCGCUUCUUGAUGAGCCCGCGGCCUAUCAGCUAGUUGGUGAGGUAACGGCUCACCAAGGCUAUGACGGGUAGCUGGUCUGAGAGGACGACCAGUCACACUGGAACUGAGACACGGUCCAGACACCUACGGGUGCAGCAGUCGAGAAUUUUUCNCAAUGGGGCAACCCUGAAGAGCGACGCCGCGUGGAGGAUGAAGGC